UGGGGAAUAUUGCACAAUGGAGGGAACUCUGAUGCAGCGACGCCGCGUGAACGAAGAAGGCUUUCGAGUCGUAAAGUUCUUUUAUAUGGGAAGAUAAUGACGGUACCAUAAGAAGAAGCCCCGGCUAACUACGUGCCAGCAGCCGCGGUAAUACGUAGGGGGCUAGCGUUGUCCGGAAUCACUGGGCGUAAAGGGUUCGCAGGCGGAAAUGCAAGUCAGGUGUAAAAGGCAGUAGCUUAACUACUGUAAGCAUUUGAAACUGCAUGUCUUGAGAAAAGUAGAGGUAAGUGGAAUUUUUAGUGUAGCGGUGAAAUGCGUAGAUAUUAAAAAGAAUACCGGUGGCGAAGGCGACUUACUGGGCUCAUUCUGACGCUGAGGAACGAAAGCGUGGGUAGCAAACAGG
rnacentral:rRNA from 1 species